rnacentral:lncRNA from 1 species
AAAGGCUUUUUAAAUAAGAAUUGUCUAUUUCAGAGAUAGAUACAAGUUCAGGUAUAAAUUUGGGGUAAACUAAUUUUGCGUUUGGUUGAAAAUUGAGUUAUUUUCGAAAAUAAGAAAAAUAGCGUUUGGAUAGAUAAGAUGGAAUAAUAAGAAUAGUAGAUAAUUUAUAAAUAAAAAAAUAAUGAUAUUACCCUUAUAUUUGUAGUAUCCCUGGUAUUCUGUAGCCUGUGUGAUUUCAGCAUCUGAGACUUGUCGACAGAUCUGGAGAGUGUCGGUACAAGUCCGAGUCGUUUCGGCGCGAAAUAAACUCAAAACGGACUCAGCGUGACGCAAGAGUAGAGUUUUAAUAUUGGAAUCUGCAAAGUGUAGGUUUUCAGUAUUUAGUACUGGU